UACGUAGGGGGCGAGCGUUGUCCGGAAUCAUUGGGCGUAAAGCGCGUGUAGGCGGCUCGAUAAGUCUGGUGUGAAAUCUUGGGGCUCAACCCCAAGCCUGCACUGGAUACUGUCGAGCUUGAGUCCGGGAGGGGAGAGCGGAAUUCCUAGUGUAGCGGUGAAAUGCGCAGAUAUUAGGAAGAACACCGGUGGCGAAGGCGGCUCUCUGGAACGGUACUGACGCUGAGACGCGAAAGCGUGGGGAGCAAACAGG
rnacentral:rRNA from 1 species